rnacentral:rRNA from 1 species
UACAGAGGUCUCAAGCGUUGUUCGGAUUCAUUGGGCGUAAAGGGGGCGUAGGUGGCGCCGUAAGUCAGGUGUGAAAUCUCGGGGCUCAACCCCGAAACUGCACUUGAUACUGCGGUGCUCGAGUACUGGAGAGGAGAUUGGAAUUUACGGUGUAGCAGUGAAAUGCGUAGAUAUCGUAAGGAAGACCAGUGGCGAAGGCGAAUCUCUGGACAGUUACUGACACUGAGGCACGAAGGCCAGGGGAGCAAACGGG